UUGCUAAGAAAAAAAAAACUAUAUAUUAUACUUGCGUAGUUUUAGCCUUUUAGGUACAUGCUAGAAGAAGAAUGGGUUUAAAUUUGUCAAGCAAUGCUCUUCUUCUAUCUUUGUUUCUUCUAAUUCUUUGUCUCUUUUCUGAAAUUGGAGGAAUUGAAACCACUCACCAGAGACUAGGUUAGUGCAUUUGGAUUACUAAAUAUGCUACAACCAAAUUUCAAAUCAUAUUUUUGAUACUCUCUCCAUAGAUAAUUUUUUAGGUUUAUGUUUUUUCUAAAAUAGAUGAUUUUCUCUCAAAUUUAUGCAAAAAUUGAUUGUACUUUUAUUGGUUUUAACAAUUUAUAUUCUACAGAUUGUUUUUUAUUGCUUAAUUUUUUUUUAUGUAGAUAUUAAAUAAUGUUUUUAUCUUAAAACUAUCAAAAAUUAAUUAUUUAUUAAUCUGUGUGCAUUUACUCAAAAAAUUCACCAAAAUUGUAGGAUAUAUUAAGUUUAUUUUUUUUGCACAUAAAAAUUGUAGGAUUUGUUUGUUUUCUUUUAUAAUUAGUUUAGUGUCAUUAAUUUCUAAUAUAAAGUUCGCAUUGAUCCUUAGUAGAAGAGCCUCCUAUAGAACUAGCUGCAUCUCCAUCGUGUUCAUGUGGAGCAAGUGCUGGAAGUGCUCCUCCGAUACAACAACAACGUCCAUGCCCACGUCCACGUCCUUGUCCACCUCCACGUGCACGCUAAACCCUACUAAAGAACGUAAAGGAGAAGGAAAAUUUGUAAUAUCAAGUUUAAUUAGCAGCCUCUUAUUAAAUUGAGAUUUUGUAAUAUUCAUAUUAAUGCUCUAAGUUAAGAGGGGUACUCGAAGUAUGACAGUAUUAUUAUAUAUUUCCUUGGAUG
rnacentral:lncRNA from 1 species